UCCGGUUGUCUGAACGCCACAAGUUAACACUUGAUAAGUUCAAAAUUGUUCAAUGAAGAACGAUGAAGAGAAGACAAUACGCCUCACUUUAAUUCAAUAUCAAAUAUGUCAAAAGUUUUUUUACAAUUGAAUGAAAACUCCUAUUUAUACUAUACCUAAAAACUAGGUAAAAAUCGUGCAAAAGUCGAGCAUAAUCCCCAAAAUAUGGAAAAAAAAAUCAAAAACUAACAAAAUAUGGAAAAAUACCAAAAUUAGAAAAUUUGUCAAAAAUUUGGCCUAUGCAACCGCAACGUUCAUUUCUAUGCGGUCGCAUAGUUCAAGCAAGUUUCCUCAUUUGAGUUUCGGUAAGUCUCCAUGCGACCACGAGCCACUUUGGUCUAUGCGAUCGCAUAGGCUUGGAACUUCCCUUUGAUUUCGGCCUUCGUUAUUAAAUUGAUCCAAGUUGAUUCGACCUUCGACCGAACAUAAAAGUUGCUCCAUUUUGAGUCCCGAACAUGGUUCCAUCAAUGGUUUCUUGAACGAGUAAUCCCAUCGCUUAUUUCACUUGCUUUGCCCUUGAUCGCGUCAUCGGUCCGCCAUCAACUAUCAUCGGGUCUCAUCUCACACUUACCUUCGUCGGGUUCGACUCCUGGGUCAUAUCAUAAAGCCACAACACCGCUAUCACCAUCGUUGACAAACUACUAUUUUCAACUUCAAAAUCGUCAUCGCCUCACUACCACAACUGCCAACAAAACCACCACCACCACAACAACUAACAAGAUCCAAUAAAAUCACCACCAACAAGAUCCACCACCAUCAUACCCACAAAACCAGUACCACCACCAAAUCCAAUAACAUUGUUGCCAUAGUAGCCCGAACACCACCAACAAAUCAGAUCCACAAACACCAUCACCUUGCCAUCAUCACAACCAGAACAUCACCGCAUAUCCAAAACCAGAAUGCUGCCGUAAAUCCAAAACCUUUGUUGAGGAUGAAAGCCAGCAAAUAAUGUUGCAUCUCUCCAGUGUCCUCGUACAGAGUAGCAGCGCACAAUGAGGGAUUGAGCAAUUGCACCCAUCACAUCACGCGAUACCCUUAAGUUGAAUAAUCUGUGAAGAGUCAUCAAAGGUAAAGGAAGAGGUUAGCUCGUGUGAAGAGUUUCCGACUGCUAAUCUAUGAAGUCCACCCUUCCUAAGAUUUUAGAGAGAGAAAUGACGGGUUGAAUGGAAGAUGAAUUAGGGUUGAAUUGGAUAGGUUGGGUAUCGUGCGUGG
rnacentral:lncRNA from 1 species